AAAUAAGUAAGCUAAUAUGAAGCUCUUAGGCCCAUACCCUAAAUAUAGAAUUAAAUAAAUAUUUCUCUUAUUUA
rnacentral:tRNA from 1 species